rnacentral:rRNA from 1 species
CAGCCGCCGCGGGAAUACGUAGGGUGUGAGCGUUAAUCGGAAUUACUGGGCGUAAAGCGUGCGCAGGCGGUUUUGUAAGACAGGCGUGAAAUCCCCGGGCUCAACCUGGGAAUGUCGCUUGUGACUGCAAAGCUAGAGUGCGGCAGAGGGGGAUGGAAUUCCGCGUGUAGCAGUGAAAUGCGUAGAUAUGCGGAGGAACACCGAUGGCGAAGGCAAUCCCCUGGGCCUGCACUGACGCUCAUGCACGAAAGCGUGGGGAGCAAACAGGAUUAGAUACCCCAGUAGUCCCUGUCUCUUAUAC